UUAACCAACUGAGCCAUCCAGGCACCCCUAAUCCAGAUACUCUUAACAGCUAGGGUAAACGAGACAAAAGAACAAAUUAGUGAUCUAGAACACAAACGGAUAGAAAAGAAGGAACAGGAGGAGGCCUAGAACA